rnacentral:rRNA from 1 species
AUUGAACGCUGGCGGCAUGCCUUACACAUGCAAGUCGAACGGUAACAGGUCUUCGGAUGCUGACGAGUGGCGAACGGGUGAGUAAUACAUCGGAACGUGCCCGAUCGUGGGGGAUAACGGAGCGAAAGCUUUGCUAAUACCGCAUACGAUCUACGGAUGAAAGCAGGGGACCGCAAGGCCUUGCGCGGACGGAGCGGCCGAUGGCAGAUUAGGUAGUUGGUGGGAUAAAAGCUUACCAAGCCGACGAUCUGUAGCUGGUCUGAGAGGACGACCAGCCACACUGGGACUGAGACACGGCCCAGACUCCUACGGGAGGCAGCAGUGGGGAAUUUUGCACAAUGGGCGCAAGCCUGAUCCAGCCAUGCCGCGUGCAGGAUGAUGGCCUUCGGGUUGUAAACUGCUUUUGUACGGAACGAAAAGACUCUUUCUAAUAAAGAGGGUCCAUGACGGUACCGUAAGAAUAAGCACCGGCUAACUACGUGCCAGCCGCCGCCGUAACAC